UUUGAAAGCUGGCCUUCGGGUCCGCAUUGUAAUUUGUAGAGGAUGCUUUGGGUGAAACGCCAGUCUAAGUUCCUUGGAACAGGACGUCAUAGAGGGUGAGAAUCCCGUAUGUGACUGGAAAUGUUAACCUAUGUAAAGCUCCUUCGACGAGUCGAGUUGUUUGGGAAUGCAGCUCUAAAUGGGAGGUAAAUUUCUUCUAAAGCUAAAUAUUGGCGAGAGACCGAUAGCGCACAAGUAGAGUGAUCGAAAGAUGAAAAGCACUUUGGAAAGAGAGUUAAAAAGCACGUGAAAUUGUUGAAAGGGAAGCGCUUGCAAUCAGACUUGUUUAAACUGUUCGGCCGGUCUUCUGACCGGUUUACUCAGUUUGGACAGGCCAGCAUCAGUUUCGGCGGCCGGAUAAAGGCUCUGGGAAUGUGGCCUUCACUUCGGUGAAGGUGUUAUAGCCCAGGGUGUAAUACGGCCAGCCGGGACUGAGGUCCGCGCUUCGGCUAGGAUGCUGGCGUAAUGGUUGUAAGCGACCCGUCUU
rnacentral:rRNA from 1 species